UCGGGAAUUUUGGGCAAUGGGCGAAAGCCUGACCCAGCAACGCCGCGUGAGGGAUGAAGUAUUUCGGUAUGUAAACCUCGAAAGAAUGGGAAGAAUAAAUGACGGUACCAUUUAUAAGCUCCGGCUAACUACGUGCCAGCAGCCGCGGUAAUACGUAGGGAGCAAGCGUUGUUCGGAUUUACUGGGCGUAAAGCGUGCGUAGGUGGUUCGUUAAGUCUGAUGUGAAAGCCCUGGGCUCAACCUGGGAAUGGCAUUGGAAACUGGCGGACUGGAGUGCGGUAGAGGGUAGCGGAAUUCCCGGUGUAGCAGUGAAAUGCGUAGAGAUCGGGAGGAACAUCCGUGGCGAAGGCGGCUACCUGGACCAGCACUGACACUGAGGCACGAAAGCGUGGGGAGCAAACA
rnacentral:rRNA from 1 species